rnacentral:lncRNA from 1 species
GGGCUGGCAGUGAGACUGACUGCGUCGGGGUUGAGACUGGGUGGAUGAGGCUCACCCCGGCGGGGAGAAGGGACGAGGAGGGGCGGACAGCGGAAGGUCCGGGAGUGUCCGCCAUAAAGUCGUUUGAGGUGACCGUUGCGUAAUUGUGAGUCUGUGAGAGAAGAUGUGAAGUAUGGCCUCGUCCCGGUCAUCUGGGCGUGCGGGUCCCGGGUUUUGAUCGCGCGUUUGUUUUUAACUUCUAGUCAUGGCGAAUGAUCGCAGGAGAGCACAGACUGGACCCUGCUACGAUCUCUCUUGGAGUGGAUCAGACUGAUGAUCACCAACAACCAACUCAUUCCCGGAUAAGGAAGAAGAGAGUGUCACCUACUUCAGUGUGGUUUCAACCCUACUUCUGCAUCUUAAAGACACUUGUACAACGUUGGACACUGUGCAGGAUGAUGCCACUUCAUCUUGGAUGCUAAUCUGCCAUGUUGACUUCUGAUUAACCCCAGGCCCAGGAAUGCCUCAAGAUUUCUACUUUACUUACUGUUGCUUGUGUAAGCCAAGACAACCUUGAUGUUAUCAUAAACAUGUACUUACCUAAGUCCUGUCCUUUGGCAAAUUAUGGGCUAUGAGACACAGCAUUCUUGCCUUUCCCUGAGGGGUCAAUUUCAGCGAUCCUACACAUUCCUUCUGAAGCACUUAUGCUCUUUCUAUAUGGUAUGUAAGCUCUCGGUCUGGGGAGUAACAGUGCAGAGAUCUACCUGUCUUGUUGCCACAUGUUUCUAAACUUUCCAAUAAAUCACCUUCUACUGACAAACUG